rnacentral:rRNA from 1 species
AUUGAACGCUGGCGGCAUGCUUUACACAUGCAAGUCGAACGGCAGCACGGACCUCGGUCUGGUGGCGAGUGGCGAACGGGUGAGUAAUACAUCGGAACGUGCCCAGUUGUGGGGGAUAACUACUCGAAAGAGUAGCUAAUACCGCAUGAGAACUGAGGUUGAAAGCAGGGGAUCGCAAGACCUUGCGCAACUGGAGCGGCCGAUGGCAGAUUAGGUAGUUGGUGGGAUAAAAGCUUACCAAGCCGACGAUCUGUAGCUGGUCUGAGAGGACGACCGGCCACACUGGGCCUGAGACACGGCCCAGACUCCUACGGGAGGCAGCAGUGGGGAAUUUUGGACAAUGGGCGAAAGCCUGAUCCAGCAAUGCCGCGUGCAGGAUGAAGGACUUCGGGUUGUAAACUGCUUUUGUACGGAACGAAAAGCUUCGGGUUAAUACCCUGGAGUCAUGACGGUACCGUAAGAAUAAGCACCGGCUAACUACGUGCCAGCCGCCGCCGUAAGAC